UUUUUAAAAAAUUGUAGAGAUGGGUUCUCACCACGUUGCCUAGGCUGGUCUUGAACUCCUGGGCUUAAGCAAUCCUCCUGCCUUCUCAUUUCUCUGUGCCCGGGCUGAGUGUGGGAGUAGAAGAUUUUGUUUGCAGAAAGGUCACAUGGACUCAUUCUGAUUCUAAAAUUAAAUGAAAAGAAAAGAAAAGUAGCAAAUAAAAACAGAAAACAAAACGAUCACAUGGAUGUACCAUUUUGCCCCAAUGCAUGUUGCCUAAGAGAGACGAUGCCUUCCCAGUUCGCCAGAGCUAUGGCUCUUAGUAGGUGUCUAGGUCCAUUUCGUGUUGCUGUGAAGGAAUACCUGAGGCUGGGUAAUUUAUAAAGAAAAGUGGUUUAUUUGGCUCAUGGUUCUGCAGGCUGCACAAAUGCAUGGCACCAGCAUCUGCUUCUGGGGUGGGCUUCGGGAAGCUUCCACUCAUGGUGGAAAAGGAAAGGCAGCUGGCGUGUGUAGAGAUCACACAGUGAGAAAAGAAGCAAGAGAGAAAGGAGAGGACGUACUAGGCUGUUUUUAACAACAAGAUCAUCUGGGAACAAAUAGACCAGAGAACUCACCCAUUACCAAAAAGUCAUCAUCAAGCCACUCAUGAAUGAUCUGCCCCAUGACCCAAACACCUUUCACCAGGCCCACUACCGACACUGAGGGUCACAUUUCAACAUGAGAUCUGAAGGGGAGAAAUAUCCAAACUACGUCAGUAGGUAAAGGACACGAGAAGAGUGGUGCUCUAUCAGAAUCACUCAGGGAGCAUUUAUGAAAUAUGCCUGCUUUACCCUUUCUCCUUCAUCAUGCUCAGGGGAUAUUCACAAUACAUAUAAAAAAUUAAUCUUCCUCUUGAGGACUUUCCUUCUUUGCAAUCUUUCCCUGGAGCUGAGGAUAGCCAGACUCUAAAUGGAUAACAAAUAAUUUCUCUUGACAUGUGCUUUCCUUUGCAACGACGUAUGGGAAAUUGAAUUUCUCCCAGGAAGAAGUGGGGAUGGAUGAAACCAGGCUUCAACUCAAUGCAUCUGUGUAAUUGCUAAGAGAGAGCUGCUUCCACCAUUAGGUAUUAUAAGUGAUGUGUCUCAAAGGAGCCCAGGACAAGUAGCAAGGAGGUGCUUUGUAAGGAAAUAGGAGGAAACCCAAGCUGUUAUUGUCCUGAGAAUUCUUACACGUAUUGAGUUUGCCUUUUGGCCACUCUUUCUGAGGCGUAUGUAGAAAUUUGCCGGUAACCUGACUCUUAGCUCGGAUCCACUUUGCCCACACGGAGGUCAUAUUCCUUCCAGGACUUGGAGAGGGGAGAUGUGUUAAAUGAAGAAUUGUCAUCACUAAUAUGCUUUGAGUUGAUUGACCUUCAUGUCAUAGAAUAAAUGUUCAACUUUGCAUCACGUCAAUGUUUGCCUCCUUCCCACCUGGAGAGAACCUAGUAAGAAAGAACUUGAGUAGCAAUAGUAAACAAUAAAUAUUGGGUCAUCACAUAACCCAUGUUAGUCUCACCCAGAUGCAAAACAUAGCUAAAAACAGUAGAAAAUGGCAACAAACAGUCUUAGAAAAAUACAGACCCUCUAGUGACUGUUUUUGUUUGAUGGCUGACAUUGGUCUAAAGAAAUUUCAAGAGAGCUGAAGGGUGGCAUCCUGUUUUAUUUCUUCAAUCCUUGGAAGAGCUCCCUUGCAUUGAGAAUGCACACAUUUGCAUUUCAAAGCAAGUGGGGUUUGGGUAAACAGUCUUAGAAGUCAAAGCAACCAUCUCCUAGAAGCAAGCUGUAUAUCAGGUAGAGAAAGAAGAGAUGAAAAAGGGCCAUGACUAUGCCCAUUUCAGUCAUCUGCUUGGGAUCCUGCCACAUGGCAGAGUUUGGUGGACACAGCACUUCUCUGCUCCCUGGGACAUAAGCAGAAACAUCUUUGGCAUGACUGAAGCAUUCUACUCCCAAGAUGGCCCCAUGCAUUGGCCUGGCAGAGGAAUGCUGUCUGAAGGCCAGGAGCUCAGUAUGGCUAUUGACUGGCCUGGCCUCAAUUCUCCUCCACAGGGAUCGUUCAGGCUUCUUACAAUAUGGCUGUCUCAAGGUAGUUAGAGGGUGACUUACCCCAUGUCACAAAAGCAGAAGCUUUCAGUUCUUCUUAGACCUGGGGUGAGUGCAGCCACCCUCUGCCAUAUAGUGUUGGAUAAAGCAUAUCCCAGGGCUACUCUGGUUCAACAGAAAGGUAUACACAAGGGUGUAAAUGCCAGAGGUCAAGGUUUUUUGGGGGUUACCCAAGUGGAGUCAACCUUCAUUAUUUGCAGAUGCUCUCUUUGCAAAUUCAGCUACUUGCUCUAAUUUCUUUGUAACCCCAAAUUAAUACUCAUUGCACUUUCGUGAACAUUUAAAGCAAUAAAUAAUUUGAGUCACC
rnacentral:lncRNA from 1 species